CCUCUUGUAGUUUAGUGGUAGAAAGUUGGUGCGUAAAGCCAAAGGUCCCGGGUUCGAUUCCCGGCGGGUGUU
rnacentral:tRNA from 1 species